rnacentral:sRNA from 1 species
GUAGGUAGAAGAUAAGUCAAAAGCGCAACGUCCUGUUGCUGACUUAUCCAACCUACAUCGUGUAGG